CAAUAGCGUAUAUUUAAGUUGUUGCAGUUAAAAAGCUCGUAGUUGGAUUUCGGGUGGGACGCAGCGGUCUCGCAUUGCGUUUGUACUGCUGCAGCCCUCCUUCUUGCCGGGGGCGGCCUCUCGGACUUCACUGUCUGGGGGUCAGAAUCGGCGAUGUUACUUUGAGUAAAUUAGAGUGUUCAAAGCAAGCUUACGCUCUGAAUAUAAUAGCAUGGGAUAACACGACAGGACUCUGGCCUAUCGUGUUGGUCUGUAGGACCGGAGUAAUGAUUAAGAGGAACAGUCGGGGGCAUUCGUAUUCCAUUGUCAGAGGUGAAAUUCUUAGAUUUAUGGAAGACGAACAUCUGCGAAAGCAUUUGCCAAGGAUGUUUNCAUUGA
rnacentral:rRNA from 1 species